rnacentral:lncRNA from 1 species
AAAAAAGAAAGAAAAAAGAAAAGCAAGAAAAAAAAGAGAAAAAAAAAGAGAAUAGAGAAAAAAAAAGAUUAAAAAUGAUGAAAGGGUGGACAUGCAACCACCACAUACGCAUAUACAUUGGACUUAGGGGGGGCUGCAUGUGGCAAAAGGAAACCAAAAUUAGAGUGUCCAGCAGCAGAAAAAUGAUGCACGAGUAUGUUACAGCAGCAUGUCACGGCCUGAAUGAAUGGAAAUUGAGGAAGCAUAUUGUUAUUGAGGGAAUGUCACAGAGGUUUUUUUGUUUUUGUUUUUAUUGGCUGGAAUAUGUACAUGGUUUUCUAAGAAGGAUUCACAGGAUUCAAUCCUAGGGCUGACUACAUAACAGAAAGCAUUUUUUCUCCUUCACCACACAUCCGUAACCAACCACACCAUGCCUCAUGACACACGCCACUUGAAUGCAUUCAUCACUCUCACCCUAUCACUAAUACAACACCUCAUCACGCAAGAACAGACACCAUACCUCAUCAUCCAUCAUUCAUCUCCCAGACUACCCUGAAUUCAUAUAUGGACUUACCUCUGUUUAGCUUCAGGAUCAUCAUCCAUCACACACAUUAAUUCCGGUGGCUAUCGAUCUCAUCAUUCUCUCACUCAUCCGCUUCAUAACCUCCACCUCUAUACGUUUCCAUCAUCAUCAUACCAACAGAUUGGAAUGGCAAAAGAGAAUCUGAUUCUCCUCUCCUCCAUUUUCUCAUCAAAAUCCACCACAAACUCAUAUAACAAACACCUCAUCUGCAUCUUCGAAGAAAAAGAGAGACAAAAUUAAUCUCCAUCCUUAUCACGUACAACCCAUCACCACAGCCGUAUUUACCAUUGCAGACCACCUACUGCAUCAUCCACGCAUACUCUUUGAUUUUGGCCUCAAUUUCCCUCCAUUUCUUCACGCACAAUCUCCCUGUAGCUAGCCAUCACCUCCUCCAUAACACANAAACACAAAACAAAGCAAAAUAGGGAAGAACCCAUUCCCUCAAUUCCUAACCUCCAACUCCAACUUCAUCCUUCAAUAAGCAAC